rfam:Candidatus Campbellbacteria bacterium RIFOXYC2_FTLL_35_25 rifoxyc2_full_scaffold_143, whole genome shotgun sequence.
UAAUAAGAAAUUUUAAGGGCGUAUGGUGGAUGCCUUGACUCUAAAAGGCGAUGAAGGACGUGGCAUGUCUGCGAUAAGCUUCGGGUAGGUGACUAGCAACCUUUGAUCCGAAGAUUUCCGAAUGGGGGAACCCAACAGAGUAAAACUCUGUUACCUAAUAAUUUAAUUAUUAGGAGCGUACCUAGGGAAGUGAAACAUCUCAGUACCUAGAGGAACAGAAAAAAAUGUUUAUUUAUUUAAGCGAUAUUUCGUCAGUAGCGGCGAGCGAAAGCGAAGGAGCCCAAACCGAACGGUAUUUAUAUUGUUCGGGGUUGUAGGACAACAGUGUCGUUCAUUUAUGAAUGAGGAAAGUCAAAAAAUAUUUUGUUAGUUGAAUUUGUUGGAAAGCAAAACUCUAAAGGGUAAUGGUCCCGUAAACGAAAACAAAAUAUCUUUCUUGUUGUUGUUCCUGAGUACCUCAAGACACGAAUAGCUUGGGGGAAUCUGCCAGAACUAACUGGUAAGGCUAAAUACUUUUAGAGAUCGAUAGUGAACAAGUACCGUGAGGGAAAGGUGAAAAGAACCCCGGUGAGGGGAGUGAAAUAGAUCUGAAACCAUACGCCUACAAGGAGUAGGAGCGGGUUGCACAUUGUGCGCCUGAUCUGUGUUAAAUAAUGGAUUCCGUCGUGUAGCUUGUCCGCGAAAGAUUUCCUUCGGGUUGUCGGGCGCCACCGUUUAAGGUGACAAUCCGAAUGAUCUCGAAUAGGAUACGGGAGGGUGGCACUCUCUAUUGCGGGUAGACAUUUUCUAUCUGAAAUCGACGGAUUCAUUUCCGAGCUGGUGAAAACCAGCUCGGAUCCAUUAUUUAGCACAGAACAGGUUUGCAACGUGCAAUCCGUCACUGCGUGCCUAUUGAAGAAUGAGCCAACGAGUCUAUAUAAGUGGCAGGAUAAGCCCUAUUGGGCGUAUUCACAGGGAAACCGAGUGUUAAUAGCGCGAACUAAUUGUCUUUUGUAUAGUACCCGAAGCCAAGUGAUCUUACCAUGAGCAGGGUGAACUUUGUCGAAAGAUGAAGGGAGGCCCGAACCGUUUGGUCGUUCAACUCCAUCGGAUGACUUGUGGUAAGCAGUGAAAAGCUAAUCGAACUUGGUGAUAGCUGGUUCUCUCCGAAAUAGCUUUAGGGUUAGCGUCUAGAUUACCUAUUGGGGGUAGAGCACUGGAAGGACUGAACAGGGGGAAACUUCGUCAGUCCUAUCAAACUCCGAAUACCAGUAGUCAAUUUCUAGGCAGUUAGACUCCGGGGGCGAAGCUCCGGUGGUCAAAAGGGAAACAGCCCAGACCUACAUCUAAGGUCCCUAAAUUCAUACUAAGUGCACUUAAGGAGGUGAAAUUUCUCAGACAAUGAGGAGGUUGGCUUAGAAGCAGCCAUCCUUUAAAGAUAGCGUAACAGCUCACUCAUCAAGAGAUCUUGCGCCGCAGAUUAUCGGGGCUAAGUAUGAUACCGAAGGUUAGGAUUCGUGAACUUUUAGUUCAUGAGUGGUAGGAGAGUAUUCUGUUCUGCGAUGAAGCCGAAGGCGUAAGCCACGGUGGAGCGUACAGAAGUAAGAAUGUUGGCACAAGUAACCGCAAUGCAGGUGAGAUCCCUGCACGCCGAAAGACUAAGGUUUCCUUCGCAAUGUUUAUCAGCGAAGGGUUAGUCGGGCCUAAGGAGAUGGUGAAAACCGAAUCUGAUGGACAUACGGUUAAUAUUCCGUAACUUCCGCAUAAUGCGAUGGGGUGACGGAGGAAAUAAGUAAGAGCACAUUAUUGGAUUUGUGUUAUUUAUUUUGAGAAUUGUUUCUUAGGAAAAUCCGGGAAACUUACUUUAAUGUUAAAUUUCGUAAAUAGAUUAAAUUCCUUCCUUCGGGUUGGAAAAUUCUUAUGAAGAGCCUUCCAAGAAAAGCCUCUAAACUUAAUUGUGUGGAAUCCGUACUAAAACCGACACAGGUAGUCAGGUCGAGAAGACCAAGGCGAACGAGUGAUAAUUCCCCAAGGAACUCGGCAAAAAAGCAGCCGUAACUUCGGAAUAAGGCUUGCCCUCUUUUUAUUAAGAGGGCCGCAGCGAAAGUAACCCUGCCAACUGUUUAUCAAAAACACAGCUCCCUGCGAACUCGUAAGAGGAUGUAUAGGGGGUGACGCCUGACCAAUGCCAGAAGGUUAAAUAAUGGUGGUAUAAAAAAUUUAUUUUUUAUGCUGGCCGCUAUAAGCCCUGGUGAAUGUCGGCCGUAACUAUAACGGUCCUAAGGUAGCGAAAUUCCUUGUCUGGUAAGUUCAGACGUGCACGAAUGGCGUAAUGAGUGGGGUACUGUCUCGGGGAACAGCUCGGUGAAAAUGCAAUACCGGUGAAGACGCCGGUUACCUGCAGCUAGACGAAAAGACCCCAGGAGCUUUACUAUAGCUUGAUAUUGGGUAUAUGUUUUGGAUGCGUAGAAUAGGUGGGAGACUUUGAUGUUAUUCUUUUGGGAAUAAUUGAGUCGCCAGUGAAAUACCACUCUUUCAAAUUGUAUAUUCUAAUCUCGACGGCAAAAACGUCGGGAGACAUUAUCUGGCAGGUAGUUUUAGUGGGGCGCUAUCCUUGAUUCAAUCAAUUUUUUUUGGUUGAAUCAAACUAUGGCGCCUCCGAGAAGUUUAAUCCACUUCGAAAAUAAAUAAAAUAGGGGGUAUUCAUUUUUAAAAUGAGUAGGUAUUCAGCUAUAUGCUGGGAAUUCCGAGUAUCUGACAGUACUUUUGUGAGUAAAUUGCAGAAGUGAAAAUCUGAUCAGUGCGACCUAAACCAAAUUAUUGGUCGGUCAACGGAUAAUCAGCAGGAAAGACUUGUAAUAUUUACAAGAAUCCUCAGAGACUAAACGCUGAACUAAUCUUUAGAUUAGAAAAUAUAGUCCGAUCUUAUUGGCGACAAUAAGGAAUAAUAUACUCCGGUAUCGUUCACAGAUUAAUGUCUGUAACAUAAAUGCCUAAAAAGUAACGGAGGAGCCUAUUAAGGUCAGCUAAGCGCGAAUGGAAACCGUGCUGAUAGUGUAAUGGCACAAGCUGGCUUGACUGCAAGACGUACAUGUCGAGCAGGUGCGAAAGCAGAGCAUAGUGAACCGAAGGUCCGCUUUAGAUGCGGCCUAAGAUUAACGGAUAAAAGCUACCCUGGGGAUAACAGGCUGGUUCCGCCUAAGAGUUCAUAUCGACGGCGGAGUUCGGCACCUCGAUGUCGGCUCAUCUUAUCCUGGGGCUGGAGAAGGUCCCAAGGGUUUGGCUGUUCGCCAAUUAAAAAGAUACGCGAGCUGGGUUCAGACCGUAAAGUAGCAAAGCUACUUUAAAUUUAAAAUGCAAGUUUCAAAAAUCAAAAUGACGAUGAAAAAUGUAAAAAUAAUUUAAAGUUUACUUAGCUGUUUUACAGUCUGAAUCAAAACAAAACAAAGAGUUUUUUCGUCUUUGAAAAAGAAAAGAAACCAACCAAACACGGCGGUCCAUAAGAAGUAAUUCUUAUGAGAAAAAGUCGACUUAUAUCGGUGAAACCCUAUCAAUUUUUUUGAGGGCAAUACCGAGGGAAGAAUUUAAUAUUCGCCCGUAGAGACUAAAUGUUGACAUCCAAUUAUUUAUAAUUGGAAUGUGUUAUAGUCCGAUCCCUUCAGUAAUGAAGGUUAAAACAAAAUGCGUGAGACAGGUUGGUCUCCUAUCUGCUGCAGGCGUUGAUUCUUGAGAAGAUUUGCUCCUAGUAAAUUUUGCUACUUUCCGUCGAAAGACGGAUUGAAAAUGUGGCUAUAACGGUGAAACCUUCAUAUGAUUGUUGUUCGAGUAUUUAACAUACUUUCGGUCUCUGUAUGUUACAAUAUGCUUGAGGACCGCAAUCCUCUUUAAGGCAAUACCGUGGGAAGUCGAUCUAAAACUCAUACAAAUAAUUUAGCGUACAUCGCAGGUUUUCUUGAUGGUGAUGGCAGUUUGAUGUUACAAAUCAAAAAACGUUCCGAUACAAAACGGGGCGUAAGGUUUAUGGCAACAAUCUGCUUAUAUCAAGAUACCCGCCAUGAAAAACCACUUUUGUGGAUGCGUAAAGUGUUUGGAAUCGGAUAUAUUUCUCGUCGAAAAGACGGAAUAUCCGAAUUACGAAUUAAUGGUUACAAAACAGUAAAAGAAAUUCUUUUGCAAUUGCAACCUUUUAUAAAGUUUAAGUCUAUUCAGACAAAAGCUCUUAUAGAAUCUUGUACUAUGUUAGAAAUCGUUAAAAUAAGUGAUAUGACCAAACAACAAUUACGUAAAAUAGUUGAUUUAGCAUUUAUAAUCAGAAAAGAAAAUUAUGCUAGUCACAGUACGUUAAAUAAAAAAGAUUUGUACGAGCGUUUAGGUUUGACCCCGUAACGACUUGUUUGUAGAAAAUAACCUUUCUGCAACAGACGUAUAAAUGUGUUGAAUCAUUUUGUAAAAGAGUGACAACCUUUAUAUGUAACACGCCACCACCCCUAGUCCUAAAUUCAUGAGGAAAGGGUGAAGAUAUAGUCUGUGCUCCUAGAAAUAGGGGAAAUUGAAUUUAAUAAUAUUAAUUAUUAAAUGAAAAACACGACGAGAGGACCGGAGUGAACUAACCUCUGGUGUGCCAGCUGUUCCGCCAGGAGCACUGCUGGGUAGCUAUGUUGGGAAUGGAUAACCUCUGAAAGCAUCUAAGAGGGAAGCCAACUUCAAGAUAAGGAAUCGUUUAAGAUCCCUGAGAGAUGAUCAGGUUGAUAGGCUCUAGGUGUAAGUGUAGUAAUAUAUUUAGCCGAGGAGUACUAAUUCAUCGAUUUUCUUAUUAGG